rnacentral:rRNA from 1 species
UACAGAGGGUGCGAGCGUUGUCCGGAAUCACUGGGCGUAAAGGGCGCGUAGGUGGCGACCCAAGUCGAUGGUGAAAGCUCGCCGCUCAACGGCGAGCGGCCACUGAUACUGGGUUGCUGGAGCACUGUAGAGGCAGAUGGAAUUCCGGGUGUAGCGGUGGAAUGCGUAGAGAUCCGGAAGAACACCGGUGGCGAAGGCGGUCUGCUGGGGCAGUUGCUGACACUGAGGCGCGACAGCGUGGGGAGCAAACAGGG